GCAGUCAUCGAAGAAAUGAAGUUACAGGAGGGGCGCACCGUCCUUUUGUCUCUGCCUUCGAGGUUGGCGGGAACUGAAACUGCAGAGCAUGGGGGUCCCUCGUACCCCUUCACGGACAGUGCUCUUCGAGCGGGAGAGGACGGGCCUGACCUACCGCGUGCCCUCGCUGCUCCCCGUGCCCCCCGGGCCCACCCUGCUGGCUUUUGUGGAGCAGCGGCUCAGCCCUGACGACUCCCACGCCCACCGCCUGGUGCUGAGGAGGGGCACGCUGGCCGGGGGCUCCGUGCGGGUGAGUGAGCGUCCGGGGGCUCCGUGCGGGUAGUGGCCGGAUCCGCUGGGGCUGCACACCCCGGGACAGGGGCGGAGGUGGUGGCGGCAGGCAGAUGCCUGAGGUAGAGAUGAGCAAACCAGGUUCAGCAAUCCUGGGUGCCCUGUGGGGGGCUGUGCCCAGGUCUCUGGACGUCCUGGUCAGCGGAACUUCCUCCUCUGGGCAGUGGGGCGCCCUGCACGUGCUAGGGACAGCGGCCCUGGCGGA
rnacentral:sRNA from 1 species